rnacentral:miRNA from 1 species
AUUUUAAUAUUCUAGCUUUCGACUAUAGAUUCAGUCAUCAUCAGGAAAAUGAUGACUGAAUCUUAGUAGUCGAAAGCUAGAAUAUUAAAA